rnacentral:tRNA from 1 species
GCACCCGUAGCUCAAUUGGAUAGAGCAUCUGACUACGAAUCAGAAGGUUAUACGUUCAAGUCGUAUCGGGUGUACCA